UACGUAGGUGGCAAGCGUUGUCCGGAAUUAUUGGGCGUAAAGCGCGCGCAGGCGGUUCGGUCAGUCGGAUGUAUAAUCCCAAAGCUCAACUUUGGGCCGCAUCUGAUACUGCCGGACUUGAGUGCAGAAGAGGAAAGUGGAAUUCCACGUGUAGCGGUGAAAUGCGUAGAUAUCAGGAGGAACACCGGUGGCGAAGGCGGUGGUCUGGGCCGGAACUGACGCUGAGGAGCGAAAGCGUGGGGAGCGAACGGG
rnacentral:rRNA from 1 species